UAGGGAAUAUUGGGCAAUGGGCGAGAGCCUGACCCAGCCAUGCCGCGUGAAGGAUGAAGGCGCUCAGCGUUGUAAACUUCUUUUACUCAUGAAGAACGGCAGGCCUGCGGGCUUGUGUGACGGUAAUGAGGGAAUCAGCACCGGCUAACUCCGUGCCAGCAGCCGCGGUAAUACGGAGGGUGCAAGCGUUGUCCGGAUUUAUUGGGUUUAAAGGGUGCGUAGGUGGGGACUCAAGUCUGGUUUGAAAGCUGGUGGCUUAACCAUCAGAUGUGGCUGGAAACUGGGUUUCUUGAAUGGGUUGGCGGUAGCUGGAACGGGUCAUGUAGCGGUGAAAUGCAUAGAUAUGACCCAGAACCCCGAUUGCGAAGGCAGGCUACUACGACUUGAUUGACACUGAGGCACGAGAGCAUGGGGAGCCAACAGGAUUAGAUACCCUGGUAGUCCACGCCGUAAACGAUGAAUGACUAGCUGUC
rnacentral:rRNA from 1 species